UACAACUUUCAACAACGGAUCUCUUGGCUCUCGCAUCGAUGAAGAACGCAGCGAAAUGCGAUACGUAAUGUGAAUUGCAGAAUUCAGUGAAUCAUCGAAUCUUUGAACGCACCUUGCGCCCCUUGGCAUUCCGAGGGGCACACCCGUUUGAGUGUCGU
rnacentral:rRNA from 2 species